GGAGAUGUAGCUCAGUGGUAGAGUACUUGCCUAGCAAGUAUGGGGCUGUGGGUUUGAUCUCCAGCAUCUGCA
rnacentral:tRNA from 1 species